CUAUACAUGCAGUCGAGCGAACAGACAAGGAGCUUGCUCCUUUGACGUUAGCGGCGGACGGGUGAGUAACACGUGGGUAACCUACCUAUAAGACUGGGAUAACUUCGGGAAACCGGAGCUAAUACCGGAUAAUAUUUCGAACCGCAUGGUUCGAUAGUGAAAGAUGGUUUUGCUAUCACUUAUAGAUGGACCCGCGCCGUAUUAGCUAGUUGGUAAGGUAACGGCUUACCAAGGCGACGAUACGUAGCCGACCUGAGAGGGUGAUCGGCCACACUGGAACUGAGACACGGUCCAGACUCCUACGGGAGGCAGCAGUAGGGAAUCUUCCGCAAUGGGCGAAAGCCUGACGGAGCAACGCCGCGUGAGUGAUGAAGGUCUUCGGAUCGUAAAACUCUGUUAUUAGGGAAGAACAUACGUGUAAGUAACUAUGCACGUCUUGACGGUACCUAAUCAGAAAGCCACGGCUAACUACGUGCCAGCAGCNGNCCGGUAAUAAAA
rnacentral:rRNA from 1 species